rnacentral:rRNA from 1 species
AUUGAACGCUGGCGGCAGGCCUAACACAUGCAAGUCGAACGAGUGGCGGACGGGUGAGUAAUGUCUGGGAAACUGCCUGAUGGAGGGGGAUAACUACUGGAAACGGUAGCUAAUACCGCAUAACCUCGUAUGUCACCAGAUGGGAUUAGCUAGUCGGUAGGGUAAAGGAUCACCUAGGCGACGAUCCCUAUCUGGUCUGAGUGGAUGACCAGCCACACGGGACCUGAGACACGGUCCAGACUCCUACGGGAGGCAGCAGUGGGGAAUAUUGCACAAGGGGCGCAAGCCUGAUGCAGCCAUGCCGCGUGUAUGAAGAAGGCCUUCGGGUUGUAAAGUACUUUCAGCGGGGAGGCGUUACCCGCAGAAGAAGCACCGGCUAACUCCGUGCCAGCAGCCGCGGUAAUAC